GUAGGCGGCAAGCGUUAUCCGGAAUUAUUGGGCGUAAAGCGCGCGCAGGCGGUUUCUUAAGUCUGAUGUGAAAGCCCACGGCUCAACCGUGGAGGGUCAUUGGAAACUGGGGAACUUGAGUGCAGAAGAGAAAAGCGGAAUUCCACGUGUAGCGGUGAAAUGCGUAGAGAUGUGGAGGAACACCAGUGGCGAAGGCGGCUUUUUGGUCUGUAACUGACGCUGAGGCGCGAAAGCGUGGGGAGCAAACAGGGAUUAGAUACCCUGGUAGUCCACGCCGUAAACGAUGAGUGCUAAGUGUUAGAGGGUUUCCGCCCCUUUAGUGCUGCAGCUAACGCAUUAAGCACUCCGCCUGGGAGUACGGUCGCAAGACUG
rnacentral:rRNA from 1 species